UGCAGCCUAGUGGUCCCAGCACUAUGACUCUUGAACCCGCCCACCUUUGCACCACCACCAUCGUCGCCGUCAGCCCUUCCUUUGACCAGGACCGCAUGUGGCUCAAUGGCAAGGAGAUUUCCCUUGCUGGAGGCAGUUCCAAAGCUGUCUGAAGGAACAAUGCAGAUGCAGUCGUGCUUGUGAUGUUGACGAUUAGGAAAAGGGUAUCAAAAUUGCAAAGAAAUAUUGGGAAAAUUUGCAUUUGCAUAUUGCUUCCUACAACAAUUUCCCUACUGCUGCUGGGUUGGCGUCUUCGGCUGCCGGUUUGCUUGUCUUGCUUGAAGGAUAUUUGAUCACUGGGGAACUAAAGCUGUUCAGCAGAACUCUGAGUUGCCUUGGAGAUAAGAGGACUUCAAACUUCAAACCAAUGUUGUGGAUGAUAAUGUUAUGGUUGAAAUUGCUGAAGUCUGAAAUGUACUCGAGUUCUUGUACAACUUAAAUGUAUGAAUGGUGAUGUAAUAGGAUUUAGUUCUCUAGUUGGUAAUGUUCCUUUUCUGAUUGUCUAGUUGUAUCCUUUCACCCCUAUUAUUAUUAUUAUUAUUUUUUUUUUUCUAGAAUACCAUUUUAGCCAUGCAAAUUUUUUGUGAAGAUGUAGAAGUAG